GCACACCGACAGACUUCUCAUACCUCAGUAUCUCUGCUAAUAGUGCUGAUCACUGCUGCUGGAUCUCUGGUGAUUGUGCCUAUGAUUGUGUUGUUUUGUAUCUGCAAGAAACACAGAGACACAGUUCAUGAAGACGAGACUCCAGCUGCUGCAUUACUCUACAAACACACUGAACUAAUGAUGGAAUCAGAUGUAACGGAGGUGAUUUACACGUGUUUCAUUACAGAACACUGAUCAAACUCUCGCUGAUUCUGCUUCCUCACAAAUCAUGGAUUGAUCACAAUAACUGCAUCUGGCUUUUGCACUCUUACUGUUUCAAAUAGAAUUCUAUUUGUUUUGUCAUUUUUUUUCUCUCUUUUUUUUUCUUUUUUUUUAUUG